UCACUCAUAUCAAUGUCUACUGUCUGAUUAAAAAGAAAGAAAAAUAUAGUUCUUGAGUCUAACUUAGUACCGGUACACAGUAUUAUCACAUUGCCUCUUAGUUAACAAAAAAAUUAACAAUAGGAAUCUGGCAUGUGCACAGAAAUUAUUUUUUCUUUAUACACAGUAAUGGAAAGCUAAUUAAAGAAGUGUGUGAUUAUUAUAGAUCUUAAACCAUAAAUAUUGUAAAUCUAUGGCAAUCAAAUGAAAUAAUGACACAAAAUACACAAAUAUGACAAUUCGCCUUUGUUGUACACAACUUCAAAGUUGUUUUAUCUAGGUGGGAAUCCCAUUCAAACUCUAAAACAUUUCUUACAAGUCCAGUCUCAAACAGUAUACAAUCAAGUGUCCACCAUCUGCACUAAUAGGAUGGCAGUGUGAAGGGCUGACAUGUAUCAAUAUUGUUCCAGAGUUACUAAUGAGCAGUAUUAAAAUUGUAUUAAAGAUUUUAACUUGCAUUUGCAUGGAGGUGCGAAGCUGAAGUUAAUUAUGUACAAAUUAACCCAUUAAGACCUGCUGUGAAACGAUUAAGUAGGGUAGGGCCCUAAUGGGAUAGGGCAUCAUAGGACCAUGUUUUAAAAAUGUUUCCAGAUGAACUCAAGAAUUCAAUAUAUAUUUGAUGAUCUAAAAUCAUUCACAGGGACUAAUGUCUUAAAAAAAACAACUUGUGUGUAUUGUAUAUGUCUUCUUUGUUUUCUAGACAUGAGAUUUUGAAAGUAUCAUGCUGUUUUCUUCUGCAAUGCCAUACAGCUAUACAAGCUUGCCGAGGUACUUAGGCAAAUCUGAAGUGGGAUAAGAACUCUAAAAUAGAAUGUAUGACUGUUGCAUAAGAGUGGAUGAUUCCUCUUAUGAAAGCUCCAUUUUUUAUUGGUAUUCCAUAAAUGACCCUGCUUUUUCAUUUCCAAUUAUAAAAUAAGCCCCUGAAGCCAUUGCAGAAUAACAUUUUAAAUUUUCCCAUUAUAUGGUGGAUUAUAUCAGACUAAAAGUGGUCAGCUCUUUUAGGCUUGAAGUGAUGUGUGAAUGCCUGAUAAGUGGAUUGUGAGUCUGUUGAGACAGUUCUUUAUGAUGAUGCAUGUGUUCUUUAUCUGUAGCACAUAAAGAAGAAAAAAAAAUUGAUUAAUAAAAUUACCAGCCAUUCAGCAGACUCUACAUU